GACGAACGCUGGCGGCGUGCCUAAUACAUGCAAGUUGAGCGCUGAAGGUUGGUACUUGUACCAACUGGAUGAGCAGCGAACGGGUGAGUAACGCGUGGGGAAUCUGCCUUUGAGCGGGGGACAACAUUUGGAAACGAAUGCUAAUACCGCAUAAAAACUUUAAACACAAGUUUUAAGUUUGAAAGAUGCAAUUGCAUCACUCAAAGAUGAUCCCGCGUUGUAUUAGCUAGUUGGUGAGGUAAAGGCUCACCAAGGCGAUGAUACAUAGCCGACCUGAGAGGGUGAUCGGCCACAUUGGGACUGAGACACGGCCCAAACUCCUACGGGAGGCAGCAGUAGGGAAUCUUCGGCAAUGGACGAAAGUCUGACCGAGCAACGCCGCGUGAGUGAAGAAGGUUUUCGGAUCGUAAAACUCUGUUGGUAGAGAAGAACGUUGGUGAGAGCGGAAAGCUCAUCAAGUGACGGUAACUACCCAGAAAGGGACGGCUAACUACGUG
rnacentral:rRNA from 1 species